AGUGAACGCUGGCGGUAGGCCUAACACAUGCAAGUCGAACGGCAGCACAGUAAGAGCUUGCUCUUACGGGUGGCGAGUGGCGGACGGGUGAGGAAUACAUCGGAAUCUACUUUUUCGUGGGGGAUAACGUAGGGAAACUUACGCUAAUACCGCAUACGACCUACGGGUGAAAGCAGGGGAUCUUCGGACCUUGCGCGAUUGAAUGAGCCGAUGUCGGAUUAGCUAGUUGGCGGGGUAAAGGCCCACCAAGGCGGCGAUCCGUAGCUGGUCUGAGAGGAGGAUCAGCCACACUGGAACUGAGACACGGUCAAGACUCCUACGGGAGGCAGCAGUGGGGAAUAUUGGACAAUGGGCGCAAGCCUGAUCCAGCCAUACCGCGUGGGUGAAGAAGGCCUUCGGGUUGUAAAGCCCUUUUGUUGGGAAAGAAAAGCAGCAGGUUAAUACCCCGCUGUUCUGACGGUACCCAAAGAAUAAGCACCGGCUAACUUCGUG
rnacentral:rRNA from 1 species